CACGUAGGGCGCAAGCGUUGUCCGGAAUUAUUGGGCGUAAAGAGCUCGUAGGCGGUCUGUUGCGUCCGCUGUGAAAACCCGGGGCUUAACCCUGGGCUGGCAGUGGAUACGGACAGACUAGAGGUAGGUAGGGGAGAAUGGAAUUCCCGGUGUAGCGGUGAAAUGCGCAGAUAUCGGGAGGAACACCGGUGGCGAAGGCGGGUCUCUGGGCCGAUACUGACGCUGAGGAGCGAAAGCGUGGGGAGCGAACAGG
rnacentral:rRNA from 1 species